GUCCGCACGAGCGCAACCCUUGUCAUUAGUUGCUACAUUCAGUUUGGGGCGAACUCCUAAUGAGACUGCCGGUGGACAAACCGGAGGAAGGUGGGGAUGACGUCAAGUCCUCAUGGCCCUUAUAGGUGGGGCUACACACGUCAUACAAUGGCCGGUACAAAGGGUCGCAAACCCGCGAGGGGGAGCCAAUCCAUCAAAGCCGGUCGUAGUCCGGAUCGCAGUCUGCAACUCGACUGCGUGAAGUCGGAAUCGCUAGUAAUCGUGGAUCAGCAUGUCACGGUGAAUACGUUCCCGGGUCUU
rnacentral:rRNA from 1 species